CUGAAAUGAAGAGAUUCAGGACCACAAACGUCAUGAAAACGAUGCAGGAUCCAAUUAAGAGGGAGCCUAAAAUCGGAUUGUAGUCCAAGAUCUGUAGGAUUAAUAAGAAGUGCACUCUGCAGAUUUUCAACUGUAUUCAGGAGCUGGUGGGACACCAAACUCUGGACAAGGAUUAGAGGAGGGAACGUCUAACAGAGCUGCUCAGAAUCAACUAUUCCAUUAAGUGGCUUCAAUAACAUGCCGAAAAUCUCACGCUACAGAAAACCAUCUGUUCUUCAUACAGACAGCACAGUCUGCCCGAAGUUAUGAUGGCCCGGAAAAUACUGUAUGUGUGACUUAUAAUGUGCCUGGUAAGCCCAAGAUCAGAGAUAGGCAGUCUCUCCAAACUCCAGGAGGGCUUGGAGUUCUGUAGGUCCUCUGAAGGCAGCAGCUUCCUUUCAAACCUCUCUCUGUUGUUCUGUAUAGGAGCUUUGAGCCAAAACCAAAAAGCAGACAUGGAAAUAUUAAUAGCAAACAGUCUCAGAUUCAUCAUAAGGAUAUGCAGUUUUGUGCUGACGAAGAACUUCAGC
ensembl:lncRNA